rnacentral:rRNA from 1 species
CCUACGGGAGGCAGCAGUAGGGAAUCUUCCACAAUGGGCGCAAGCCUGAUGGAGCAACGCCGCGUGGACGAAGAAGGUCUUCGGAUCGUAAAGCUCUGUUGUAAGGGAAGAAAGUGCGAGAGAGUAAAUGUUCUCGUAUUGAUGGUACCUUUCGAGAAAGCCACGGCUAACUACGUGCCAGCAGCCGCGGUAAUACGUAGGUGGCGAGCGUUAUCCGGAAUGAUUGGGCGUAAAGGGAGCGUAGGCGGUCUGGUAAGUCUUGUGUGAAAGGUUACGGGUUAACCGGGAAAGUGCAUUGGAAACUGGGGGACUAGAGUGCAGAAGAGGGGAGUGGAACUCCAUGUGUAGCGGUGAAAUGCGUAGAUAUAUGGAAGAACACCAGUGGCGAAGGCGGCUGUCUGGUCUGUAACUGACGCUGAGGUGCGAAAGCGUGGGUAGCAAACAGGAUUAGAUACCCGAGUAGUC